UAUAAAUACAAUCAUAAGUUUCCGCGCCUAAUUUUAAUCAUCCGUCUUAUUUAAAAUUUUUUUAUAAUUAGUAUUUUUUAUGUUAUUAUGAGAUGAUAAAAUAUGAAUAGUACUUUACUCGUGACUUAUACUUUAAAGUUGGGCGCGAAAAAUCAUGCACUUAGA
rnacentral:pre_miRNA from 1 species